rnacentral:rRNA from 1 species
AUUGAACGCUGGCGGCAGGCUUAACACAUGCAAGUCGAGCGGGGGAAGGUAGCUUGCUACCGGACCUAGCGGCGGACGGGUGAGUAAUGCUUAGGAAUCUGCCUAUUAGUGGGGGACAACAUCUCGAAAGGGAUGCUAAUACCGCAUACGUCCUACGGGAGAAAGCAGGGGAUCUUCGGACCUUGCGCUAAUAGAUGAGCCUAAGUCGGAUUAGCUAGUUGGUGGGGUAAAGGCCUACCAAGGCGACGAUCUGUAGCGGGUCUGAGAGGAUGAGCAGCCACACUGGGACUGAGACACGGCCCAGACUCCUACGGGAGGCAGCAGUGGGGAAUAUUGGACAAUGGGGGGAACCCUGAUCCAGCCAUGCCGCGUGUGUGAAGAAGGCCUUAUGGUUGUAAAGCACUUUAAGCGAGGAGGAGGCUACUUUAGUUAAUACCUAGAGAUAGUGGACGUUACUCGCAGAAUAAGCACCGGCUAACUCUGUGCCAGCAGCCGCAGUAA